rnacentral:ribozyme from 14 species
UAUAAUGCAAACGAAAAAAUGAAAAAAAUGAAAAAAAAAUGAAUGAAUCUCG